rnacentral:rRNA from 1 species
CCUACGGGUGGCAGCAGUGGGGAAUAUUGGACAAUGGGGGCAACCCUGAUCCAGCCAUGCCGCGGGUGUGAAGAAGGCCCUCGGGUUGUAAAGCACUUUCAGUGAGGAAGAACGCCUGGUGGUUAAUACCCAUCAGGAAAGACAUCACUCACAGAAGAAGCACCGGCUAACUCCGUGCCAGCAGCCGCGGUAAUACGGAGGGUGCGAGCGUUAAUCGGAAUUACUGGGCGUAAAGCGCGCGUAGGUGGCUUGAUAAGCCGGUUGUGAAAGCCCCGGGCUCAACCUGGGAACGGCAUCCGGAACUGUCAAGCUAGAGUGCAGGAGAGGAAGGUAGAAUUCCCGGUGGAGCGGUGAAAUGCGUAGAGAUCGGGAGGAAUACCAGUGGCGAAGGCGGCCUUCUGGACUGACACUGACCCUGAGGUGCGAAAGCGUGGGUAGCAAACAGGAUUAGAUACCCUGGUAGUC